GUCGAACGCCCCGCAAGGGGAGUGGCAGACGGGUGAGUAACGCGUGGGAAUCUACCCAAUUCUUCGGAACAACACAUGGAAACGUGUGCUAAUACCGAAUGAGCCCUUCGGGGGAAAGAUUUAUCGGAAUUGGAUGAGCCCGCGUUGGAUUAGCUAGUUGGUGGGGUAAAGGCCUACCAAGGCGACGAUCCAUAGCUGGUCUGAGAGGAUGAUCAGCCACACUGGGACUGAGACACGGCCCAGACUCCUACGGGAGGCAGCAGUGGGGAAUAUUGGACAAUGGGCGCAAGCCUGAUCCAGCCAUGCCGCGUGAGUGAUGAAGGUCUUAGGAUUGUAAAGCUCUUUCACCGGUGAAGAUAAUGACGGUAACCGGAGAAGAAGCCCCGGCUAACUUCGUGCCAGCAGCCGCGGUAAUACGAAGGGGGCUAGCGUUGUUCGGAUUUACUGGGCGUAAAGCGCACGUAGGCGGACUUUUAAGUCAGGGGUGAAAUCCCGGGGCUCAACCCCGGAACUGCCUUUGAUACUGGAAGUCUUGAGUUCGAGAGAGGUGAGUGGAAUUGCGAGUGUAGAGGUGAAAUUCGUAGAUAUUCGCAGGAACACCAGUGGCGAAGGCGGCUCACUGGCUCGAUACUGACGCUGAGGUGCGAA
rnacentral:rRNA from 1 species